CUUUCGAGUUGGAGCUCAGAGUACGAGCGUAGUUCAGGGGAUGUGAUCAGUCAGGGCUGAGUGCAGAGCUGCACACAUAUAGCAGCAGCCCAGAAAGGCACAAGGAGCCUUCUCCUUAAAUGGUCAAAGCUCCCAGGAGUGAAAGAGAGGCUGGCGCUGAACAAAAAAAAAAAGACAGGGAACGGAGGGGAAAGGAAAAGACGGCCAGGGAUAGCUGGGUUUUUCUUUGAAAGAAUCUAGGAAUGACAGUUUGACUGAGGGAAGGUCCUGCCGGUUUUAUGUGGAGUUGCUAAGCAGUGGUGGUGGUAUCUCUCACAGAGAACAACAGAGCUGUGACGACCCCAAGGCGCCCUCCACUGAUGACCACAUACCAAGCCAAGUCCAAUAUUCAGACUUUAUCCCAGAUCGAGAUCACAACAGCACUAGUUGUGAUGGUCCUGCAACUGUAUUUUUAGGUUCCAUCCCGCCCCCAUCCCUCGUCCACGACGCGUAUGCCCCUCCUCUCACCAUCCCAUUGGAAACAGUCCCUCGGUUUGGCUGUGAGAAUCCAGCUCCUGCUCUCACCGACGAGGAUGUAGCAGGGUUAGUGUUUAUAUUCUCCAUCUUUUACAGGAAAGGGUAUUGCAUGUGUUUAGAUGAACAUCCCCCCACACUGAAGAGCUAGGCUUAGGUGAGACUGUACAGAGAUUGUCAGUGUUUACAUGGUCACACACCAGAGCCCCAAUAACUUACAGGGGCACUCAGUACAUUCCUUGGAGGAAGCUAGAAAAUGUCAGAGAAUUGCCUAGUGUUUUAGAAAAGGCC
ensembl:lncRNA